GGGGAGGUAGCUCAGUGGUAGAGCACUUAUCUAGCAGGCAGGGGGCCUUGGGUUCCAUCCCCAGCACCACCA
rnacentral:tRNA from 1 species